ensembl:lncRNA
CAGAGCUAGCCUUCCUGAUCAGUUUCUCCAGCCUGGAUGACUCCUUCUUUGCUGUGCUGCUCCCCCAGCACACCACAGCAUAGAAAAGUACUUCAGCAACCACUGACUGGUAAAACAUCCUCAGGAGCUUCCUGCAGAUGUUAAAAGACCUCAGCCUCCUGAGGAAGUACAGUCGGCUUGUGUACAUUUUGUAUGGCAGCUAGACUGCUUUUCUAGCAUGUCAGUUCUUGAUGUGUAAGUGCAUUAGAUCCUGAUUAUCCUAGUCAACAUAGCGACAACAGUUGUAAGUUGCUUUGACAUAUGUACAGAACGUUGAUACAUUGUUUGACACCCUAAAAGUAGGAUUUGGGGGUCAUUUUACUUCACUGAGGGAUUUUAUUAGGCUUUUAACAUUUUGAGAGCACCCAGAGAAUGAAGUCGUUCUUUCAGAGGUAAAUGUGAUAGAAAACAAUCACUCUGUUGUAAAUUUAGCUCAGAAGUGUUUGACGUAUGGUGGCGGUGCGGAAACACAUGGCUACUUCUGGGUUUUACCCCAGACUUUAAGAAGCACUAACAUCAAAGUUAGCUCAUGUUUUUUUUAUUAAUUUAUCCACAGGUUCAGUCGUAUUCACUGUCCUUGAUGGUAAACAUCUGGAUGGGGCAAACAGAACGGCACAAAGGAGUGUGUGUGAUGUUUGGCCUGUUAUCUGCAGCUGCCACACAUUCAGUCAGUAGAAAGCAUGGAGGUGAUGGAGGAGCUCACAGCAGGUCCCAGCUGAGCCACACUGUCAGUGUUGGCCGGCGGUCACGUGUCAAUUCAAACACAAUGAGACUAGAAUAAAAUGUAUCCAUAAACUGGGAGACUUUAUUAAAGAGAGCGCACAUUUACACACUAACACAGCAAAGAACCCAACAUCCUGCAAAAGAAGCAACCAGGAAAGAUGAGUAUGAAGAAACUUUUACAAACUCAGCUUUGAUUUUAAUCUAGAAAUAGACAGUUGUGUGUCUGUGCUGGUCGCUGGGAUUGUUGUGUUUCUGAGGUUGACUAUUACUGAAAGGUGUUUCUGUUUCAUCGCUGCUUCACUGUUUGGACGUUUUCAUUGUGUUCCUGUCUCAGCUUUAUUUCCUGUGACUUGUUUGAGUUUGUGUUGUGAUUUUAUUGUGGUGCUGCCUCCUCAGUGUGCGUCUGGAUCGUGUUUAGUUAUUUCUUGUCUUGUUCAUUCGGUGCUGUUUUGAUGUUUAAUGUUUUACUUUAGUUUGAUUUCUCUGACCGUCAUAAAACCUUCAUCUAUUUCUGAUCUGAAGUCAGAGUUCAGAGUUCACAGUGUUUGAUUUCAUGUGUAGUUAAUCAUUUCUUCUUCCUGCUGGGAUCCUUUGUCCUUUAUUUCUUUGUCGUUCCUGAUUGUAGAGCUGAGAUAAACAUAAAGCACCACUUCUGUUUCCUUCUUUCAUUUGCAGAAGAACGUGUCUGCAUGUGUUUCUGAGUAAAGUGUGCAGUGAUACAAACAGCCUGGUUUACAUGUGAACUUUAAUGACAGAUUUAGAGCUCAGUGCAUGAAUCUGAAAUAAUAACACACAUGUACAUUUCAGCCUUUGUGCAAACACACAGUUGCAGUGAGUUUUGUUGGUCUUUGAAACAAUAAUGGUCUCUCAGAUUAAUCACAUCCAUAUAUAUCAGGCGCUGUUUGUUUCUUAGUGCAGCUGUUUGUGUUGGUGGAGGUCAAAGGUGUGUUCAGUGUCUCCACAAAGAGUCUGAAAUCACAGGAGUGUGUGACCUGUGAUUAAAAAGGUUCUGGCUCAUGUACAGCAUGUACAACAUGUAC